UGUUGUCCAUGUCUGAGACAGUCAGCGAGAGCAGAGAGACGAGUCUGAGUCGGUUUAACUCACUGAACCUGGAGCUGCAGCGUCCACAGAUACACACCACACCUGUGACAGCGCAUGACGUCAGUCUGCAGUUAUGGAGGGAGCUGCUGGAUGGUUUGGUCUGUGAGUCUGUGAGUCUGUGAGACUGAGACACACGCUGGGCCUUCAGGAGAACAACACCUGGACUGACACCUCGGAGCAGAAGGAGGAGGAGGAGAGGAGAGGAGAGGAGGAGCACUGCAGAUGAAGGACGAGAGGAGACGAGCGAGUGUCAGAGAGCUGGAGGAG